GAACGUCCUAAGGAAAAGUGGGACAUUCUGGGAUCAAAUGAGAAACUGGAACAGCUUCUGUAAAUCUGGGACUGACCUUGGAAAAUACAGACACUUGUAGGGUCUGAGCUUCUUUGUGUUCAAUGAGGCUUACUUCUUAGUAAAUGUGUUUAGAUUUGUUGCAAACUUACCCUUCGAUUCCUGUUGAUAUGGGUGCAGGCAGCAAAAAAAAAUUAAGACCAAUCUAGGUGUGAUAUUAACUGUGUGGCUGCAAUUAAUGGACACAUUUUUCUUUUGAAAACAGUAGCUGAGAGGAAGUCUGACUUGCACUAGAAUUCUGGGAAGGGUCACUUGAUUGGCAGCGCAGAGUGUUCUCUCCAUGCCAUCUGGCAGGGGCCCAAGAGGAAUUAAUCACGCAGAGAUGGAAUAAUGAUGUUUCUGGCACCUGUCUAGCAGACGGACAUCCAUUUCAUCUCCAAGUCACAUUGCAUUCUCAAAAUGAACUGAAACAUAUUGCCUCACACCUAACGAGGAGCCAAGCUGGUUCAGCAGAUAUCUGCCAUGCAAAUCAUCUCUCUAAAUAUUUUCUUCAGGGAUGGGCCAGACCUCUGCCUGUGACCUUGAAGAACUGCUACCAGUCAGAGUGGAGAAUACUGAAGGAGAUGGACGAAUAGGAUGAUCCGGAAUCCAGCUAAAGAAUCCAUGACUGACAGCCAUUCAACCUCUGGUCCAAUCUCCUUUCUGGUCAUUUGAAUACACCCAAUUGCAAUACAUCAAGGGAACGUUGUGGACUGAUGCUGAGUUCUGAAACAGCACCUUGGAAGAGUGCUGAGGCACAGCUGGCGGGAUCAGAAGAAUUUCAGAUCCUCUGUGGAAGGGCUGUGGCUAAGUAACAGAGCACCUGCUUUGCAUGCAGAAGGUCCCAGGUUCAAUCCUCAGCAUCUGUAGAAACCUGAACAUCUACCACCUGAAGUGUAACAACUGAUUUUUAGUAACUGAAGUUUACGAAGAGUUGUGCCUAUAGUAUUGUGCAUAAGCCUGAGACAUCUUAUAGUCAGUUAAAGUGAAUAAGUUAACUUCUACCUGAAAGAACACAUUUCUUGACCCACUUUGUUUCAUAAACUUCCUUUUGUUUAAUAAAGCUUUU